ACGCGCUGAACUUAAGCAUAUCACUAAGCGCAGGUAAAAGAAAAUAACAAUGAUUGCCUCAGUAACGGCGAGUGAAGCGGCAAGAGCCCAAGAUGAGAACCGCGGGCUUUGCGGCCCUGCGGAUUGUAAUCUACAGAGCGGGCGCUGACCCGGCUCCUGACGCCCAAGUGUCUUGGAAUAGACCGCCAGGGAGGGUGAAAGCCCCGUACGGCGUCGGGUAAAAGCUAGGCGGCCGCUNGAAGAGUCGAGUUGUUCGGGACUGCAGCUCUAAGUGGGAGGUAGACUUCUCCUAAGGCUCAAUAACUAUGAGAGACCGAUAGCGAACAAGUAAUGUGAAUGAAAGAUGAAAAAUAUUCUAUACGUAAGAACUUUGAAUGAAUAAAAGAGAAUUAAAGAGACCUGAAACCGUUGAGGUGGAAGCGAUAGGAAGUUUAGUUUGGUGUGGAGCUGGCAAAACGGCGUCGAGUCUGUCAGGCGGCGGUCACCGUAAGGGGCCGUGUUUGGCUGGCGUAGUCGUGAGUUUGCUCCGCGCCGAGGCGUAAGUCCGGCUUCUGCCGCGUCAUACCCCCUGUAGAGUCUGAGCUUCGGCAUCGCUCUGUGGGCCGGCGGCGUGGCGGAGGCCGUGUACUUCGUAUGACUUUUCCUACCGACCCGUCUUGAAACACGGACCAAGGAGUCUAACAGACAUGCGAUUAUGUUGGUGCUUUGUAAACCAAACAUGAGCAAUGAAAGUGAGCGGUGCCAAUCGCAAGAUGCAGCAUCGGCCAGUUGCGGUCCCUCUGGGCAAGCGCACUGGCACGAGCAUAUCUGUUAGGACCCGAAAGAUGGUGAACUACGCUUGAGUAGGGUGAAGCCAGGGGAAACUCUUGUGGAAGCCCGAAGCGGUACUGACGUGCAAAUCGUUCGUCAAACUUGAGUGUAGGGGCGAAAGACUAAUCGAACCAUCUAGUAGCUGGUUCCCUCCGAAGUUUCUCUCAGGAUAGCAAGGACAGUAGCAGUUUUAUUAGGUAAAGAAUAAAUGAUUAGAAGCUUCUGGGAGUUUUAUUAGUGCUCUCGACUUAGUUCUCAAACUCUAAAUAUUGUAAUAACUCGGUAUUCCUUAACUGAAGACCGAGGUAGAAUGCUUGUCCUUAGUGGGCCAUUUUUGGUAAGCAGAACUGGCGAUGAGGGAUGAACCUAACUCCGGGUUAAGGUGCCCAACUGCACGCGCAUCAGAUACCUUAAAGGGUGUGUUGAUUCAUUUAGACAGCAGGACGGUGGCCAUGGAAGUUGGAACCCGCUAAGGAGUGUGUAACAACUCACCUGCCGAAUGAAUUAGCCCCGAAAAUUUUGAUGGCUCUCCAGCGUGCGACCGAUACCCGGACAUUGCAGCGAAAGUUUGACUGCAAUGAGUAGGAGAGGGCGUAGGCGUCUUGUUGAAGCUUUGAGCGUGAGCCUGAGUCGAAAGGCGUCUAGUGCAGAUCUUGGUGGUAGUAGCAAUUAUUCAAAUGAGAACUUUGAAGGCCGAAGUGGAGAAGGUUUCCAUGAGAACAGCAAUUGGUCAUGGGUGACUCGGUCCUAAGAUAUUGGUUAACGACCUUGCAAAUGGGCUUCGGCCCGCAAUCGAAGAAGGGAAAAUGGGGUUAAUAUUCCUCAAGCUGGCUACGGAUGUCACGGCAACGUUUGUGAGCUCGGUGACGCCGGCGCGUGCCUCUGGAAGAGUUAUCUUUUCUUUGUUAACAGCCCAGCGACCCUGAAAUCGGAUUACCCGGAGAUGAGGGUUGCAAUGCUGGAAUAGUGUGUAUGUUUUCUCUACACAAGUUUAGAAGCGCUCGCGACGGCCCUUGAAAACCCGAGUGAGGUAAUUUAUUCCGUACCAGGCCGUACCAAUAACCGCAUCAGGUCUCCCAAGGUU
rnacentral:rRNA from 1 species